rnacentral:tRNA from 1 species
UGAGUUGUGGCUCAGUGGUAGAGCACUUUCCUUGCACACAUGAGGCCCUGAGUUCGAUCCUCAGCACCACAU